AUUAAUAAGCGGAGGAAAAGAAACUAACAAGGAUUCCCCCAGUAACGGCGAGUGAAGCGGGAAUAGCUCAAAUUUGAAAUCUCCGACGCUUGCGUCGGCGAGUUGUAGUUGCGAGAAGCACUUUCUCGGCGGAUCGGGCGUGCCUAAGUUGCUUGGAACAGUACGUCGCAGAGGGUGACAACCCCGUUUGUGGCACGGCCGACCGCUCACGAUGUGCUUUCGAAGAGUCGGGUUGUUUGGGAAUGCAGCCCAAAACGGGUGGUAAACUCCAUCUAAAGCUAAAUAUUGACGUGAGACCGAUAGCGAACAAGUACCGUGAGGGAAAGAUGAAAAGAACUUUGAAAAGAGAGUUAAAAAGUACGUGAAACCGUUGGAAGGGAAACGAAUGGACUCAGCAAUGCGCCGUUUGAGAUUCAGCCGGCCGGCGGGAUCGGCUCGGGGUGUGCGGAUCCGAAUGGACCGCCGUCUCGGGCUCGUUUCUCCCGGCCGUCGCACUUCUCUUGGGCGCACGUCAACGUCGGUUGGGACUGGGUCUGAAAGGUUCCGGGAAGGUAGGUCCGCGCGUUCCUCGCGUUCGCGCGCUCUGUUACAGCCCGGUUCUCUUGCGGCUCGGGCCCGACCGAGGCGGUCGCAGCGCACGCCUCUUUUGGCUAGGGUCCCGUCCGUCCGGCCGGUCGUCGACCGCGGUGGACUGCUUGCAGUGCUCCGCGACUGCUGCCGGUCGUUCGGGCGGUGAUCUCGUACCAUGCGCUAAGGAUGUUGGCGG
rnacentral:rRNA from 1 species